AGCACGGUAGUACAGAGGAAGUACGUUGGGCUCAUAUCAAUACUUGACACCCAAAGGUCGUGAGAUCGAGACUCACCCGUGCUA